rnacentral:lncRNA from 1 species
CCAGAAAUGAUUUUGACUGAACUCUGUUGACACCUGAAGACUAUUGAGUAAUUCCAGGCACAGGUGAGAUGUUCUGUGAUUUUUUGCUGGGUGACCCUCUUCCAGUUUCACAGGCAAGGGGUCAAAAUGCAUUUCAAAUAAUAAUGUUGCCAGGUCUCACCUCAAGCAGCAAGGGGAGAGCAAGGCAUAAUGAUAAAGGUCUCAACAGUGA